GAUCAUGGCUCAGGACGAACGCUGGCGGCGCGCCUAACACAUGCAAGUGAACGAGAGAUGAGGAGCUUGCUCUUCAAAUCGAGUGGCGAACGGGCGAGUAACGCGUGAGGAACCUGCCUCAAAGAGGGGGACAACAGUUGGAAACGACUGCUAAUACCGCAUAAGCCCACGGCUCGGCAUCGAGCAGAGGGAAAAGGAGUGAUCCGCUUUGAGAUGGCCUCGCGUCCGA
rnacentral:rRNA from 1 species